CUACGGGUGGCAGCAGUGGGGAAUAUUGGACAAUGGGCGAAAGCCUGAUCCAGCCAUGCCGCGUGUGUGAAGAAGGCCUUCGGGUUGUAAAGCACUUUCAGUGGGGAAGAAAGCCUUGGGGCUAAUACCCUCGAGGAAGGACAUCACCCACAGAAGAAGCACCGGCUAACUCCGUGCCAGCAGCCGCGGUAAUACGGAGGGUGCGAGCGUUAAUCGGAAUUACUGGGCGUAAAGCGCGCGUAGGCGGUCUGAUAAGCCGGUUGUGAAAGCCCCGGGCUCAACCUGGGAACGGCAUCCGGAACUGUCAGGCUAGAGUGCAGGAGAGGAAGGUAGAAUUCCCGGUGUAGCGGUGAAAUGCGUAGAGAUCGGGAGGAAUACCAGUGGCGAAGGCGGCCUUCUGGACUGACACUGACGCUGAGGUGCGAAAGCGUGGGUAGCAAACAGGAUUAGAUACCCCAGUAGUC
rnacentral:rRNA from 1 species